AACUUGCAGCUCCAGCCUGUGUCUGCAGGGGGCGCUGUGGACACACGUUUCUCCAGCCUGUGCGAGAUGCCUCCGCUCUCCGGCUAGGAAGAAGGAAGAUGGCCCGCAGGGGAGUUUUCAUAGGCCAGAUUUUCAGAUCCUGCAGCCAGCACUUUGGGGGUUGGCUGUCGCAGGGGAGCCUGAGAAAGGGCGAGUUCCCCGGGCCUGAAUCACGGGCUGCUGAUUGUGCGACCACCACUCACAGUUGGAGCAGCUACUACCAACAUGGUUGGAGCUUCCAAUUUUUAAAGAAAGCCAGAAAUCCUUAAAAUGUUGGCAACUGAUUCCAAUUUUAUAAACUGGGAAGACUGAACAAUGCACACGUGUGAGCCUCAUAUAGCCCAGAGGCCACCAGUGUAAGACCUCUGGAGUUUGAGCUGUGACCCUUUCAGCACCACCCUUGUCAUUCCUGGUGCAGGUAAAACACAUGAUGCCCAGUUAUUAUACAUUUGAAUUUCAGAUAAUUUUAACCAUGUCCCAAAUAUUGCAUGGAACAUACUUACACUAAAAAAUCGUUAUUUAUCUGAAAUUCAAAUGUAACUGGGUGUUCUGUAUUUUUAUUGGCUAGAUCUGGCAACCUCAUUCCAGGGAGCAUCUGGCUUGGGAUGGUGCAUCUGUUCUUUAAGAUGAAGCCUUGAUGGACCUCAUUCCUUCUGAGUAACUUGUAUCUCUGCCAACUUGAACUUUCCUCUCAGAUUAUUUGGCCGGGGGGGAAUUGGAGUUUCUGAAAUUUCCCGAUAGUUUACAAUUUGGCUGUAAUGCCUGGAUGGGUAGAAUUGGCAGGUCCUAUGGUCCCCUGGGCUGGUCCCCUGAUCAGUUUCUCCCAAGGUCCCAAUGUUGAUUAAUUGCAGGUUUGUUUAGAAGGCAACUGUCUUUUCCUUUAUCUGUUAGUCAUGGCAGAAACAGACCAUCUUGGGCUUAUUUAUAUCUGUGGCUUUUUUAAAGAGAGAAAAGGAGAAAUCUGGAUCCUUUCACUUGGCAGGCUCAUUUAAACAAAUGGUCCUUUUGCUAAAACAGACUGGCGCCACAGGGCCACAGUUUGCAGGUGGGAGGGUUUGGGAUGGGGGUGGUCCUGGUGGGUGAGAGCAGUUUUUUCUUUUUUUUUGCUCCAGUGUUAAAAUGGUGGCAUGUGCAAACUGGGACUUUGUCGUCACUUUUGGCUGUGCCCAGGUUGACCUGGUGUUUUUACAGCUAGAGGAGCUACCUGCUGAGAGUGGUGGUAUUCAUCAAAGUAAAUGCUAGGCUGCCUCAAAUAUUUCACUGUCGCACUGUAUGGUCAAGUCCAAACAUUCCUCUGUAAGCUCCAUUUUUCCCUACUUGAAUCAUAAUAGUAAUAGCACAAUAACUGCAAUGCCAUUUAUUGAAAUUUCUUACCAGCCUCUAAUCUAGGGUACUUUACAUUUUAAAAUAAUUUAUUCCUCACCUCAACUCUGCAAGGGCAGUAAUAUUAUCAUCCUGACUUUACAGAUGAGGAAACUGAGGUUUAGAAAGGGGAAGUGACUUACCUAAGUCACACAGUUAGUAAAUGGCUCUACCAAUGCCUUUCCUUGUCCAUCCUGGUCCCCUCCUUACCCUAGUCCACCUUGCUCACCGCUCCUAGAGCAGGGACACAUCAGCGUCAGCUCUAAGCCCUGUGGUGGGAGCUUCAGCAGGAGAUGGAGGUGGGGUUGGGGAGUGAGGAUGACCUAUGCAUCCCCCUGGCCGCACCCUGUGGGGACACCUCUCCAGAUGUUCUUCCACCUGACCCUCCUUCUGGGCCCUGAUGCUCCUUCCCUGGUCCCUUCAGAUGUAGGGAUAUCCCCUCUACUUCCAGCUCCAAGGUUUUGCACUAGCUCCUGUGGUUUCCUUAUAUUCUGUGAGCACCACUGUUUUCUUCUUGAAUUAUACUCUGCUUAGAGUUAUUCUAUUUCCAGUGGGCCAGGACUGGUAGAGAGGCAGAGCUGGGAUUCGAACCCAAGGACUCCAAAAUAACCUCUUUGCUAAUGGCAUCCUAGAACUGCUUGCUCCUGCCAGCCACGGUGUUUUCAUUCUGGCUUGGACCAGGAUCUACUCUCAUUUCUGUUCUUUUCUCCAACAAUUGCAGGAAAUGUUGCUAAGUGCAUUUUCUGUGCCUGCUAGUAUAUGGACUCUAUUAAAAACAAAUAAAAAACAAUGCUAGCUUGA